GCCAAAGGAGAUCCAGGUAUUCCAGGAUUAGAUAUCCCAGGAUUUCCAGGACGAUUUGGACUUCCUGGAUCACAAGGCCCUGGAGGAAAUAAAGGAUUGCCUGGCAUCAAAGGACAGUGUGGUAAGCCAGGAAAGCCGGGCACACCAGGUUUCAGAGGAGAAAGAGGUUUGAUGGGACACGAGGGUAGCCCUGGAUUGCCUGGUGUCUCUGGAAAUCCAGGAAUCCCUGGAGGAAGAGGUUCUCCGGGCUUUUCAGGAUCAAAAGGAAGGAAAGGAUCUUUUGGAGAAAAAGGUGAACCAGGUGAUAAAGGUCCUCCUGGGCUAUCAGAAUCCAAAGAGAUCUAUGGAGAUAAAGGGGAGAGAGGAAGUAAAGGUAUAAAGCUAUACUAUCACUAUGCUACACAUUCUGCAGGUUUUCAUAAUGAAAU
rnacentral:lncRNA from 1 species